CGGCAACAGCUCAAAUUUGAAAUCUGGCCGCAAGGUCCGAGUUGUAAUUUGCAGAGGAUGCUUUUGGCGAGGUGCCUUCCGAGUUCCCUGGAACGGGACGCCAUAGAGGGUGAGAGCCCCGUACGGUUGGACCACCGAGCCUCUGUAAAGCUCCUUCGAC
rnacentral:rRNA from 1 species